UGAAUACGAGACGCUACGGCGUCGAAGCAGUCUAUGUCAUACUUCCAAGAAAAGCUUGCACUGUCAUAAACAAAUAAUGCCUGUACCAUAACCGACACAGGUGGGUAGGUAGAGUAUACUAAGGGGCGCGAGAUAACUCUCUCUAAGGAACUCGGCAAAAUGACUCCGUAACUUCGGGAGAAGGAGUGCCUUAUUUAUAAGGUUGCAAUAACAAGAUCCAAGCAACUGUUUAUCAAAAACACAGGUCUCCGCUAAGUCGUAAGACGAUGUAUGGGGGCUGACGCCUGCCCAGUGCCAGAAGGUUAAAGAAGUUGGUUAGCAUUAGCGAAGCUGAUAACUGAAGCCAUGGUGAACGGCGGCCGUAACGAUAACGGUCCUAAGGUAGCGAAAUUCCUUGUCGGGUAAGUUCCGACCCGCACGAAAGGCGUAAUGAUUUGGAUACUGUCUCAGAGAGGGGCUCGGUGAAAUAGACUUGUCUGUGAAGAUGCGGACUACCUGCACCAGGACAGAAAGACCCUAUGAAGCUUUACUGUAACUUGAAAUUGAAAUUGGACUUUAUUUGCGCAGUAUAGGUGGGAGGCAUUGAUAAUAUUCUUGCGGGAAUGUUGGAGCCAUCAGUGAGAUACCACUCUUGUAAUGUUAGAUUUCUAACUUUGGAUCAUUAUCUGGUCAAAGGACAGUUUCAGGCGGCAGUUUGACUGGGGCGGUCGCCUCCUAAAUGGUAACGGAGGCGCACAAAGGUUUCCUCUGAACGGGUAGAAAUCGUAUCUAGAGUGUAAAGGCAUAAGGAAGCUAGACUGUGAGACCUACAAGUCGAGCAGGGACGAAAGUCGGUCUUAGUGAUCUGACGGUGCUGAGUGGAAAGGCCGUCACUCAACGGAUAAAAGUUACUCUAGGAUAACAGGCUGAUCUCCCCCAAGAGUUCACAUCGACGGGGAGGUUUGGCACCUCGAUGUCGGCUCAUCGCAUCCUGGGGCGGUAGUACGUCCCAAGGGUUGGGCUGUUCGCCCAUGAAAGCGGUACGCGAGCUGGGUUCAGAACGUCGUGAGACAGUUCGGUCCAUAUCCGGUGUAGGCGUUAGAAUAUUGAGAGGAGCCUUCUUUAGUACGAGAGGACCGAGAAGGACAUACCUCUGGUGUACCAGUUAUCGUGCCAACGGUAAACGCUGGGUAGCUAUGUAUGGAGAGGAUAACCGCUGAAAGCAUCUAAGUGGGAAGCCCACCUC
rnacentral:rRNA from 1 species